UGCCUGUGUUGUCUUCUGGUCCACCACAUGGAGACAACGUAUGAUUCUUUAUCUUAGAAUAUUCUUCCUCGCUGACAGGAGGAUACAAUGACAUCCACUUGAGGACGUCAGGCAUCACUGAAAAUUUUCCUCUUGCUCAGGUGGUAGAUUCUUUUUAGAGGACCUAGCACAGAGCCUGGCACACGGGGGUGACCCAGGAAUUAUUAGCAGAAUGUACAUAUCAGUGUGAAUGGAAGCCCUGAUGACUCAAGAAGCCUAUGGGAUGGAGAGGGGACAUCCCUGCUCCACGCCCAAAGCCUGCUGUGAGUGGACAGCUCUGAGCAAGGCUCUCCUUCAACCAGGACAGAGGAAUCCUGUGUCAGGUCUCACUCCCUGGCUGGAGGCACACUGGCAGAACUUUCUCCUCUGACAGAGGCCAUCAAGUCAACUUUUGGUUCUGACAAGAAUGCUAAACCUGGGAAUCAGGAAAAGAAUCCAAAGACUGGGGCUUCUUCAUGUUAAAAUAGUUUGUUUAUUCAUUCAUUCAUUCUUUCUUGGAAUAUUGUUGUGUAAUUAUGUGCUGCUUAAAAUUGGAGAAGCCAUGCUGUGACUUGGAGAAUAGCUCUGGACAACUGUGGAUGAUGAAGUAGAGACACUGGGACUUGGGUCUUUGAUGACAUUGAACCACCAAGGCAAACCUGGGGCCAUCUGUCACCUGACUGUCAUCUGUCACCUGCCAUCUGUCACCUGCCUAUUAAGGAAAUAAACUUCCUUCAAUGUGAGCCACAGCAGGUCCUGACUGUGUGUUGAGAGCAUAGGGUUGAGUUCCUGAGAAGAGCUCUCUCUCCUUCACAAAGAGCCUGCCGACUUCAGAAGGGCUGAUUCACAGAGUGACUUAUGGUGGCUACGGAGAGUCCCUAGGGGAAGGCAUUGAUCACCAGUGGCUGUUCUGCUAAACUUUCCAAAUGUUCUAGAUGUUCCACCUGCAAGAGAUCAACUACCGAAGGGUAACCUGAAGGUAUUCACUCUAAUUGUGUACCUACUGAGUACCAAGUCCUCCAAAAUAGCAAAUGCAUGCAAUAAAUCACAGACGGUAUUUAUCAUAUGGUGACUUUGGAGUCUUACUAUUUUACCCAAAUUUGCUCCAGUAGAAUUAGAAGGUCUGGUUCAUCCAACCUCGACAAUGAUACGUUGGAGCUCAACAGGAAUGAAGAAACCAGCUACAUGUUUUUCAGUCAGGAGCUUAUAUUGUCUUUCUUUCCAAGCACUAUCUCAAGCCUGUGACCACAGAAGGCAUUCCACAAUAAAAAAUCACUUUUCAAGCAACCAUUCAGAGAUUUCC